GAUGAACGCUGGCGGCGUGCCUAAUACAUGCAAGUCGAGCGAACAGACGAUGAGCUUGCUCCUCUCACGUUAGCGGCGGACGGGUGAGUAACACGUGGAUCACCUACCUAUAAGACUGGGAUAACUUCGGGAAACCGGAGCUAAUACCGGAUAACAUGCUGAACCGCAUGGGUCGACAGUGAAAGACGGUCUUGCUGUCACUUCUAGCUGGAUCCGCGCCGCAUUAGCUAGUUGGUAAGGUAACGGCCUACCAAGGCAACGAUGCGUAGCCGACCUGAGAGGGGGAUCGGCCACACUGGAACGGAGCCAGGGUCAAUAGUCCUACGGGACGGAGCAGUAGGGAAUCGUCCGCAGCAGGCGAAAAUCUGGCGGAGCAACGGCGCGUGAGUUGAGAAAGUGUUCGGAUCGUAAAACUCUGUUAUUGGGGGUGAACAAAUUUGUACUUAACUAUGCCCGUCUUGACGGUAACUGGUAAGAAAGCAACGGCUAACUACGUG
rnacentral:rRNA from 1 species